CCUCAAUGAAGAGUUGCAGGCUGGUUGAGUAUCUCGCCCUCAAUCUCGCUAUUACCCAUGUCUUUUCGUACUACUACUUAUUUCCUCGGCAGGUCCAGCCUGCCGGUGAUGAACCACAUUCAAACCAUGUUUCAUUUUCAAUCAGCGUCUGAAAAACUUAAUAAUUA
rnacentral:misc_RNA from 1 species